AUUGAACGCUGGCGGCAUGCCUUACACAUGCAAGUCGAACGGCAGCACGGGUGCUUGCACCUGGUGGCGAGUGGCGAACGGGUGAGUAAUAUAUCGGAACGUACCUUAUUGUGGGGGAUAACGCAGCGAAAGCUACGCUAAUACCGCAUAAUCCCUAAGGGGGAAAGCGGGGGACCGUAAGGCCUCGCGCAAUUAGAGCGGCCGAUACCUGAUUAGCUAGUUGGUGCGGUAAAGGCUCACCAAGGCAACGAUCAGUAGCUGGUCUGAGAGGACGAUCAGCCACACUGGGACUGAGACACGGCCCAGACUCCUACGGGAGGCAGCAGUGGGGAAUUUUGGACAAUGGGGGCAACCCUGAUCCAGCAAUGCCGCGUGAGUGAAGAAGGCCUUCGGGUUGUAAAGCUCCUUUGUCAGGGAAGAAACAGCAGCUCUAACACAGUUUGCGAAUGACGGUACCUGAAGAAUAAGCACCGGCUAACUACGUGCCAGCCGCCGCAGUAA
rnacentral:rRNA from 1 species